GCUGCUCUGAGUUCUCUGUCAGGUUUCUCUCCAGGUUUUGUCCCAAGGAAACCUCAGAGUGUUUUGCUUCUCUUCCUUUUUCUGUCUGUUCUCCCUCUUUUAUAACCUGAUUUUCAUGGCUUUGUGGGCUCAAAUGAGAGAGGUCCAAGUCUGUGAUUUUUUCUUUUAUUUAUUUAUUUAUUUAAUUAAUUAAUUAAUUAAAAAAAAAUUAUUAUUAUUUUUUUCAUUUUUUAUUUUUU
rnacentral:lncRNA from 1 species